rnacentral:rRNA from 1 species
GUGGGGAAUCUUGCGCAAUGGGCGAAAGCCUGACGCAGCCAUGCCGCGUGAAUGAUGAAGGUCUUAGGAUUGUAAAAUUCUUUCACCGGGGACGAUAAUGACGGUACCCGGAGAAGAAGCUCCGGCUAACUUCGUGCCAGCAGCCGCGGUAAUACGGAGGGUGCAAGCGUUAUCCGGAAUCAUUGGGUUUAAAGGGUCCGCAGGCGGAUCGUUAAGUCAGUGGUGAAAUCCUACCGCUCAACGGUAGAACUGCCAUUGAUACUGGCGAUCUUGAGUAUGUAUGAAGUUGGCGGAAUGUGUGGUGUAGCGGUGAAAUGCUUAGAUAUCACACAGAACACCGAUUGCGAAGGCAGCUGACUAAUACACAACUGACGCUGAGGGACGAAAGUGUGGGGAUCAAACAGGAUUAGAAACCCGAGUAGUCC